CUUUCAUUCGUAUUGAGGGUAAAGUUGAUGUCUGAGACCCGAUCAAAAGAAACAUUGCCGAUGUCAUCUUGAUCAGCAAACUUCUCAUCGUUGAAGCCAAAUUGCUGCAAAGAAGAAUCCUGGGAGAAGCCAGUUUCUUUGAAGUCAAUCUCAUCAUCGCUGGAAGAAUGAAUGUGGCAGGUAGUAACCAGAUCCACUGUAUUCCUUUUGUUAGUUUCUCCUAAAGAGCUUGUACAGAAUGUUUCCCACCGCUCUCUGACCUCCUCUGGAAGCUCUUUAAUAAGCUGUUGGACUAGCGUGCUGUUAGGGCCCUUAUCCGUACUGUGCACAAUACAGUUUGCUAUCCUUGUCAGAUGACCCAUAUAGCCAUGCCGUCUUCCUCCUUCCGCCUGUUUCUUCUCAUUCAUCUCCCAUGCUUCAAGUAUUCGUUCUAUUAGUUGGCACUUAAGGAAGAGAUGUUUCAAUAAAAGAUUGUCCCCAGUGGAAUCCUGAUCUGUAAUUGUGCCAUUUUCUGUGCUCUCAAGAGGACUUGCAAGAAUCAAUGCAAUACAGAUUUCUACUUGAGUAUGCAAAAAGUUAUUCCACGUAUAUUUAAAGAACAUGUCCAGUAUAACUCCUAUACUGUUUAGCUCUAUAAGCUCCUGAUUCACGCUGCUUGUAUUUGUCUGUAGAAGGCUAGAUAUUAAUCUGAUCACAUUUAAACGUGUGUUCCCCACAGGUGGAUCCAAUACACCCCACGUUGUCUUCAUGACACUUUUUUUUGGAGGCUCAAGUAGGAGUUCAUGGAAGGAUGAAAGUCGUGCUUUUAUGGCUUCUAAAACACUUUUAUUGACAGAAUACGUUGAAUUGCUCAUGCCUGGAGGACAGAUCUCUAUAUGGCCUUCAAAUGUCUGUCGUCUUGUCUCAAGUAAGGUCAGUAAUAUUUGGAUUGCACUGACUAUUGCAGAUUCAUUCUUUUCUUUAUGAAAAAUAUUGGACAGCAGCUGCUCUAUGAUUUCUCGUUUCUCUAGACUUGCCAGCAGGGGAUCUGGUUCUGAACUGUUCUGUACUUGUAACAUCUGAUCUCUGCUUAAACGAAUAAUUUCACAGAGUGACUGUGAUGCAUUUGAAUGUCUGUCUUCAUCUUGAGAUGGAUGUACAAUUUCUACAAGCCGUUGGAUAAUCCUCUCUUCAUUUAGCCAAUUCAACACUUCUUGCCUGGGCUGUGGAGGUUCUAUGCAAGUCAGUAGCCUGAGCAGCAAGUCCAUGAUAGCAGAGGUCCCUAUGUGCUUAAUAACGAGGUCUACAAAAUCGUGUUUCUUCUUUAAAAAAUCCACAAUCUGUUCUGGUUUUCUGCUUAUGAGAAUACUUAGCACCUUGCUGAAGAAACUGGCGAGUAAAGGGUUUAGAGGAGAUUCAUUUAAGAGGAAGCUGUACAGUUUCAUAAGUAAAGAUUCUUCUUCUCCCAGCCUAUCAUUGAUCUGUG
rnacentral:lncRNA from 1 species